rnacentral:rRNA from 1 species
AUGAACGCUGGCGGCGUGCCUAAUACAUGCAAGUCGAGCGAACGGACGAGAAGCUUGCUUCUCUGAUGUUAGCGGCGGACGGGUGAGUAACACGUGGAUAACCUACCUAUAAGACUGGGAUAACUUCGGGAAACCGUAGCUAAUACCGGAUAAUAUUUUGAACCGCAUGGUUCAAAAGUGAAAGACGGUCUUGCUGUCACUUAUAGAUGGAUCCGCGCUGCAUUAGCUAGUUGGUAAGGUAACGGCUUACCAAGGCAACGAUGCAUAGCCGACCUGAGAGGGUGAUCGGCCACACUGGAACUGAGACACGGUCCAGACUCCUACGGGAGGCAGCAGUAGGGAAUCUUCCGCAAUGGGCGAAAGCCUGACGGAGCAACGCCGCGUGAGUGAUGAAGGUCUUCGGAUCGUAAAACUCUGUUAUUAUGGAAGAACAUAUGUGUAAGUAACUGUGCACAUCUUGACGGUACCUAAUCAGAAAGCCACGGCUAACUACGUG